GUGCGUGUAGAUUAAUUAGUGUUAGAUUGUAAGGCUGUUAACCUUAAGGAGGUGUAUGUACCCGCGAACG
rnacentral:tRNA from 2 species